rnacentral:rRNA from 1 species
GAUGAACGCUGGCGGCGUGCCUAAUACAUGCAAGUCGAGCGAACAGACGAGGAGCUUGCUCCUCUGACGUUAGCGGCGGACGGGUGAGUAACACGUGGAUAACCUACCUAUAGGACUGGGAUAACUUCGGGAAACCGGAGCUAAUCCCGGAUAAUAUAUUGAACCGCAUGGUUCAAUAGUGAAAGACGGUUUUGCUGUCACUUAUAGAUGGAUCCGCGCCGCAUUAGCUAGUUGGUGAGGUAACGGCUUACCAAGGGAACGAUGCGUAGCCGACCUGAGAGGGGGAUCGCCCACACUGGAACGUAGCCACGGUCCAGACUCCUACGGGAGGCAGCAGUAGGGAAUCUGCCGCAAUGGGCGAAAGCCUGACGGAGCAACGCCGCGUGAGUGAUGAAGGUCUUCGGAUCGUAAAACUCUGUUAUUAGGGAAGAACAAAUGUGGAAGUAACUAUGCACGUCUUGACGGUACCUAAUCAGAAAGCCACGGCUAACUACGUG